CUCUAUGUCUGUGUUCCUGAGGGUAGGGAAGGAGACAGAGGAGAGUUGAGCGGUGAAUCCCAGUUGCGUUGCUCUUUAUGCAUUCUUUGUGUGUGUGCAUGUGGGACAGAGUCUUGCAACAUUGCCCAGGCUGGACUUGAACUGCUGGGCUCCAAGUGAUCCUCCACCUCUGCCUCCCAGAGUGCUGAGGUUACAAGUGUGAACCACUGCCCUGGCCUUUGUACGUGUUGGGGAGCCUUUAAACUAGAGCCCAAGCUUACCUGUGAAGCUGUGAAGUCUCCUAAUGUGGUUGCUUUGCUUAUUCAACUUAGGAUAUUUGGUUUUACUGUUAAACCCCGGUUUUGUUUGUUGCUUACAGUUUGACAACUUAAAUGCUGCCCAUGAAACGUCUAAGUUGGAAAUUGAAGCUAGCCACUCGGAAAAAGUUGAAUUGCUAAAGAAGGCCUAUGAAGCCUCCCUUUCAGAAAUUAAGAAAGGCCAUGAAAUAGAAAAGAAAUCGCUUGAAGAUUUACUUUCUGAGAAGCAGGAAUCGCUAGAGAAGCAAAUCAACGAUCUGAAGAGUGAAAAUGAUGCUUUAAAUGAAAAAUUGAAAUCAGAAGAACAAAAAAGAAGAGCAAGAGAGAAAGCAAAUUUGAAAAAUCCUCAGAUCAUGUAUCUGGAACAGGAGUUAGAAAGCCUGAAAGCUGUGUUAGAGAUCAAGAAUGAGAAACUGCAUCAACAGGACAUCAAGUUAAUGAAAAUGGAGAAACUGGUGGACAACAACACAGCAUUGGUUGACAAAUUGAAGCGAUUCCAGCAGGAGAAUGAAGAAUUAAAAGCUCGGAUGG
rnacentral:sRNA from 1 species